GGGGACAUAGCUCAGAUGGGAGAGCGCUUGCAUGGCAUGCAAGAGGUCGGCGGUUCGAUCCCGCUUGUCUCCACCA
rnacentral:tRNA from 1 species